rnacentral:rRNA from 1 species
CACGUAGGGCGCAAGCGUUGUCCGGAAUUAUUGGGCGUAAAGAGCUCGUAGGUGGUUUGCUGCGUCCGCUGUGAAAACCCAAGGCUUAACCUUGGGCUUGCAGUGGAUACGGGCAGACUAGAGGUAGGUAGGGGAGAAUGGAAUUCCCGGUGUAGCGGUGAAAUGCGCAGAUAUCAGGAAGAACACCCGUGGCUAAGGCGGCUCUCUAGUACGGUACUGACGCUGAGACGCGAAAGCGUGGGGAGCGAACAGG